rnacentral:rRNA from 1 species
GACGAACGCUGGCGGCGUGCCUAAUACAUGCAAGUCGAGCGGACGAAUCGAAAGCUUGCUUUUGAUUCGUUAGCGGCGGACGGGUGAGUAACACGUGGGCAACCUGCCCUGUAGACGGGGAUAACACCGAGAAAUCGGUGCUAAUACCGGAUAACACGAAAUGUCGCAUGACGUUUCGUUGAAAGACGGCGCAAGCUGUCGCUACAGGAUGGGCCCGCGGCGCAUUAGCUAGUUGGUGAGUAACGGCUCACCAAGGCGACGAUGCGUAGCCGACCUGAGAGGGUGAUCGGCCACACUGGGACUGAGACACGGCCCAGACUCCUACGGGAGGCAGCAGUAGGGAAUCUUCCGCAAUGGACGAAAGUCUGACGGAGCAACGCCGCGUGAGCGAAGAAGGCCUUCGGGUCGUAAAGCUCUGUUGUUAGGGAAGAACAAGUAACGCAGUAACUGGCGUUACCGUGACGGUACCUAACGAGAAAGCCACGGCUAACUACGUG